UUGAAUGAAUCUAAGAGUUGGUUGUCGCUGGCCCCCCCCCAAUAAAAAAAGGGGGGCAUGUGCACGCCUUCUCUUUUCAUCCACACACACCUGUGCACUUGUGAGACGGUGGGAUUUCCUUCCCCGUCUACUAAUCACACAAACUCAUCGUACUUAAAAAUGAAUGUAAUUGAUGUAACACAUCAUUUGAAC
rnacentral:misc_RNA from 1 species